rnacentral:lncRNA from 1 species
CACAUUGGUAUUUUAACAGUGUUAUUGUAAGAGUUUAAAUGUUUAAACAGAGGAUACAUCUAAAACAGGAUAAAACAAGUGCAGUAUGUUCUGAGAAUGUUACUGUUUGUCCAGUGUGUGUGUGUGUGUGUUUGUCCAGUGUGUGUGUGUGUGUGUUUGUCCAGUGUGUGUGUGUGUGUGUGUGUUUGUCCAGUGUGUGUGUGUGUGUGUGUUUGUCCAGUGUGUGUGUGUGUGUGUGUGUCCAGUGUGUGUGUGUGUGUGUGUGUGUGUCCAGUGUGUGUGUGUGUGUCCAGUGUGUGUGUGUGUGUGUCCAGUGUGUGUGUGUGUGUCCAGUGUGUGUGUGUGUGUGUCCAGUGUGUGUGUGUGUGUGUCCAGUGUGUGUGUGUGUCCAGUGUGUGUGUGUGAGUCCAGUGUGUGUGUGUGUGUGUUUGUCUAGUGUGUGUGUCCAGUGUGUGUGUGUCUGUGUGUAUCCAGUGUUUGUGUGUGUGUGUCCAGUGUGUGUGUUUGUCCACUUUGUUUGUCCAGUGUGUGUGUGUGUGUGUGUCCAGUGUGUGUGUGUGUGUGUGUGUGUGUGUAUUUUUGUUUGACCAGUGUGUGUGUGUGUGUGUGUGUGUGUGUGUGUGUGUGUGUCCAGUGUGUGUGUGUGUGUGUGUGUGUGUGUGUGUGUCCAGUGUGUGUGUGUGUAUGUGUGUGAGUCUGUGUGUGUUUUCGUUUGUCCAGUGUGCGUGUGUCCAGAAUGUGUUUGUGUGUGUUUGUUCAGUGUGUGUGUUGAGUGUGUGUGUCCAUUUUGUGUCCAGUUUGUGUGUGUUCAGUGUGUGUUCAGUGUGUGUUCAGUGUGUGUGUGUGUGUGUGUGUGUGUGUGUCCAGUGUGUGUGUGUGUGUGUCCAGUGUGUGUGUGUGUGUGCCCAGUUUGUGUGUCCAGUGUGUGUGUUUGUGUGUGUUUGUGUGUGUGUGUUUGUGUGUGUCCAGUGUGUGUGUGUUUGUGUGUGUGUGUGUGUUUUUGUGUGUGUGUGUGUGUGUGUGUGUGUGUUUGUCCAGUGUGUGUGUGUGUGUGUGUGUGUGUGUGUGUUGUGUGUGUGUGUGUGUGUGUGUUUGUCCAGUGUGUGUGUGUGUGUGUGUUUGUCCAGUGUGUGUGUGUGUUUGUCCAGUGUGUGUGUGUGUGUGUGUGUGUUUGUCCAGUGUUUGUGUGUGUGUGUCCAGUGUGUGUGUGUGUGUGUCCAGUGUGUGUGUGUGUGUGUCCAAUGUGUGUGUGUGUGUGUGUCCAGUGUGUGUGUGUGUGUGUCCAGUGUGUGUGAGUCCAGUGUGUGUGAGUCCAGUGUGUGUGUGUGUGUGAGUCCAGUGUGUGUGUGUUUGUCCAGUGUGUGUGUGUGUUUGUCCAGUGUGUGUGUGUGUGUGUGUGUGUGUGUGUGUGUGUGUGUUGUCCAGUGUGUUUGUGUGUGUGUUUGUCCAGUGUGUGUGUGUGUGUGUUUGUCCAGUGUGUGUGUGUGUGUGUUUGUCCAGUGUGUGUGUGUGUGUGUGUUUGUCCAGUGUGUGUGUGUGUGUGUGUUUGUCCAGUGUGUGUGUGUGUGUGUGUGUGUGUCCAGUGUGUGUGUGUGUGUGUGUGUGUCCAGUGUGUGUGUGUGUGUGUGUCCAGUGUGUGUGUGUGUGUCCAGUGUGUGUGUGUGUGUCCAGUGUGUGUGUGUGUGUCCAGUAUGUGUGUGUGUGUGUCCAGUGUGUGUGUGUCCAGUGUGUGUGUGUGUCCAGUGUGUGUGUGUGAGUCCAGUGUGUGUGUGUGUGUGUUGUGUGUGUGUCUGUGUGUAUCCAGUGUUUGUGUGUGUGUGUGUCCAGUGUGUGUGUUUGUCCACUUUGUUUGUCCAGUGUGUGUGUGUGUGUGUGUCCAGUGUGUGUGUGUGUGUGUGUGUGUGUAUUUUUGUUUGACCAGUGUGUGUGUGUGUGUGUGUGUGUGUGUGUGUGUGUGUGUGUCCAGUGUGUGUGUGUGUGUGUGUGUGUGUGUCCAGUGUGUGUGUGUGUAUGUGUGUGAGUGUGUGUGUGUUUUCGUUUGUCCAGUGUGCGUGUGUCCAGAAUGUGUUUGUGUGUGUUUGUUCAGUGUGUGUGUUGAGUGUGUGUGUCCAUUUUGUGUCCAGUUUGUGUGUGUUCAGUGUGUGUUCAGUGUGUGUGUGUGUGUGUGUGUGU